AUCGAACGCUGGCGGCAGGCUUAACACAUGCAAGUCGAACGAGUGGCGGAGGGGUGAGUAAUGCUUGGGAAUCUAGCUUAUGGAGGGGGAUAACUACGGGAACCUGUAGCUAAUACCGCGUACCAUAGGUAGCGCCCAUGUGGGCUGAGGUAGUUGGGGAGGAAAAGGCUCACCAAGCCGACUAUCGCUAGCUGGUCUGAGAGGAUGACCGGCCACACUGGGGCUGUGACACGGCCAAGACUCCUACGGGAGGCAGCAGUGGGGAAUAUUGCGCAAGUGGGGCAACCUGACGCAGCCAUGGCGCGUGAGUGAAGAAGGCGUUGGGGUUGUAAAGUACUUUCGGUAGCUGUGCGUUAACUGCAGAAGAAGCACCGGCUAACUCCGUGCCAGCAGCCGCGGUAAUUC
rnacentral:rRNA from 1 species